rnacentral:rRNA from 1 species
UACGUAGGGGGCAAGCGUUGUCCGGAUUUAUUGGGCGUAAAGAGCGUGUAGGCGGCCAGGUAGGUCUGCUGUGAAAACUCGAGGCUUAACCUCGAGAUGUCGGCGGAAACCAUCUGGCUAGAGUCCGGAAGAGGAGAGUGGAAUUCCUGGUGUAGCGGUGAAAUGCGCAGAUAUCAGGAAGAACACCCGCGGCGAAGGCGGCUCUCUGGGACGGUACUGACGCUGAGACGCGAAAGCGUGGGGAGCGAACAGG